UACGUAGGUGGCAAGCGUUGUCCGGAUUUACUGGGCGUAAAGAGCGCGCAGGCGGUUGGAUAAGUCGAAUGUGAAAGCCCCCGGCUUAACUGGGGAGGGUCAUUCGAUACUGUUUGACUUGAAGGCAGGAGAGGGCAGCAGAAUUCCCGGUGUAGUGGUGAAAUGCGUAGAUAUCGGGAGGAAUACCAGUGGCGAAGGCGGCUGCCUGGCCUGUUCUUGACGCUGAGGCGCGAAAGCUGGGGGAGCAAACGGG
rnacentral:rRNA from 1 species